UGGGGAAUAUUGCACAAUGGGCGCAAGCCUGAUGCAGCAACGCCGCGUGAACGAUGAAGGUCUUCGGAUCGUAAAGUUCUGUUGCAGGGGAAGAUAAUGACGGUACCCUGUGAGGAAGCCCCGGCUAACUACGUGCCAGCAGCCGCGGUAAUACGUAGGGGGCUAGCGUUAUCCGGAUUUACUGGGCGUAAAGGGUGCGUAGGUGGUCUUUCAAGUCGGUGGUUAAAGGCUACGGCUCAACCGUAGUUAGCCUCCGAAACUGGAAGACUUGAGUGCAGGAGAGGAAAGUGGAAUUCCCAGUGUAGCGGUGAAAUGCGUAGAUAUUGGGAGGAACACCAGUAGCGAAGGCGGCUUUCUGAACUGCAACUGACACUGAGGCACGAAAGCGUGGGUAGCAAACAGG
rnacentral:rRNA from 1 species